GUGAAUCAUCGAAUCUUUGAACGCAAAUUGCACUAUCCUCGGAGAGUAUGCGUGUUUGAGGGUCAGCGUAUAAAAAAUCGACGUCGUUGCUGUUUCGCGGUGACGUUCGUUGGAAAUUGGGUCAUCUUAAAUCCUUUUGAUUUUAGUGACUUAUAAUUUUCUUUUGGUUGAUUGAACGUUUCUAAGAUCUAUUUCUUUACACGACUAAGGUAUCGAUUUUUACUAGAAGUGAUCAUCAUAUCGGAUCGAGUCCAUAAUAUUUAAUU
rnacentral:misc_RNA from 1 species